UGCCCACUCUGUACAUGAACUGAUCAUUCACUCUCGGAUUGGUUAUUGAUAUCUGCACUAGCCAAUAAGGCCCGGUGCUCUUGGAUCCCUAUAUAUGCAGUCAGUCCCCAUGACUGUUCCUUUCAGUUGACAUAAGAGUGGGAUUUAUGGCAGUGUAUUCAUGGAGUGCGCGUGUAAAAGGUGACUUCACAACCAUUUCUUGCCCAGGGACCCCCUCCCAGGCAAACCGGUGACCCAUGGACUCCCAUCAUACAUUAACAAAAACAUCAUCAGGGCAUGGCUAGUCAGCAUGGCUACUCUGGCCUGUGGCUGGACAGCGAUUUUGGCAGUGGGCAUAGCCGAGCACGGCCUCACUGCAGCAGCUAUAGCAGCCCUCGGCUCUCUGCUGAGGAGGACUUCACCAAUGACUCUCUGGACACCCUGGACUCUCCCUGAGGAGGAAGAGGUGGAGAUAGAGGCACAUUUAUUAAAGGAAGUAACCUACCACAUAUGGUAGGUUACUUCCUGGAUGACAGUCAGGUUGGGGUGUUCUGUUGAAGGUAGAGACAGGAGGCAAGAGGAGCAUCCUUGAUGCUGGCCAUGAUGGAGAUUGCAGUGAAGACCCUUCAUAGCCAGGAUCAGAGGAGUGCAAUGGAUAAUGAGAGGAAUGACUUAAGGUUCUGAUUGAGGAUUUUCUGCUUUUCAAAUGGACGUGUAGAAAUUAUGGGGAUUUAUCACAAUUUCUUCUCAGACAAGACAUUUCAAGUUGAAGAAGGAGUGUGCUAUCAAAUCCAAAUUUAUUUGUCACAUGCACCGAAUACAACAUUUCACCUUACCGUGUAAUGCUUACUUAUAAGCCCUUAACCAA